CCCUUAGAUGUUCUGGGCCGCACGCGCGCUACACUGAUGCAUUCAACGAGUCUAAAACCUGCUCUGAUAGGGGUGGGUAAUCUUUUGAAUGUGCAUCGUGAUUGGGAUAGAUGAUUGCAAUUUUUCAUCUUCAACGAGGAAUGCCUAGUAAACGCAAGUCAUCAGCUUGCAUUGAUUACGUCCCUGCCCUUUGUACACACCGCCCGUCGCUCCUACCGAUUGAAUGAUCCGAUGAAUAUCAUGGAUUGAGGAUGCAAGUAGGUUCGCCUAUCUUCAUCUUUGAGAAGUGAAGUAAAUCUUAUCAUUUAGAGGAAGGAGAAGUCGUAACA
rnacentral:rRNA from 1 species